rnacentral:lncRNA from 1 species
UCACGUUUGUGGCGGCGGCCGCCGUCAUUAGCCUGGAGAGUCCGUAAUCGGCGAUCUGUGCGUUGGUCUGCUCGUCGAGGAGGAUAUUGCUGGCCGUGAGAUUCUCGUGGAUCGUGUUCUCGUUGCUGUGAAGGUGAGCCAAGCCACGAGCGAUCCCUUUUGCUAUCUUCAUCCUUGUUUCCCAUGGAAUUAGGGUUUCUGGUCCUCGAGCUGUUGAUUUCAAUUCCCAAAUUCAGAAUCACUAAUAUGUCAAAAUCUCAAUUAAAAUCCAAAUUAGGUUUUGUUUUUUUUUGGGUUUUGAUUUGCUUACCGUGAAGAAACGCAGAGAGGCUACCCUUGGACAUGUAAUCGAAGACGAGGAGCUUCUCUCCUUUGGGUCCUAAGUAGUAAGCUCUUAGAGCAAGAAGAUUCGGGUGUCGAAUCUUGCCCAAAGCUGUGACCUCUCCUUCAAACUCUUUG